AAUGAACGUUGGCGGCGUGGAUUAGGCAUGCAAGUCGUACGGGUCGGUGUAGCAAUACAGCGGCAAGUGGCGAAAGGGAGAGUAACACGUAGAUACCUACCCUCUGGUCGGGGAUACCGCGGCAUAACCGCAAGUAAUACCCGAUAAAAUCUCCGGAUCAAAGGUGUGAUUCCGCCGGAGGAGGGGUCUGCGUUCUAUCAGCUUGUUGGUGAGGUAAUGGCUCACCAAGGCUAAGACGGAUACGGGGUGUGAGAGCAUGCCCCCGCUCACUGGGACUGAGACACUGCCCAGACACCUACGGGUGGCUGCAGUCAAGAAUCUUCGGCAAUGGGCGCAAGCCUGACCGAGCGACGCCGCGUGCGGGAUGAAGGCCUUCGGGUUGUAAACCGCUGUCGAGGGGAAUGAAGUGUAGGUGGGUACUCCCAUCUAUUUGACAGAUCCCUGGAGGAAGCAUGGGCUAAGUUCGUGCCAGCAGCCGCAGUAAUAC
rnacentral:rRNA from 1 species